rnacentral:rRNA from 1 species
UACGUAGGGACCAAGCGUUGUUCGGAUUUACUGGGCGUAAAGGGCGCGUAGGCGGCCAUUCAAGUCAGUUGUGAAAUCUCCGAGCUUAACUCGGAACGGUCAACUGAUACUGUUUUGCUAGAGUACAGAAAGGGCAAUCGGAAUUCUUGGUGUAGCGGUGAAAUGCGUAGAUAUCAAGAGGAACACCUGAGGCGAAGGCGGGUUGCUAGGCUGAUACUGACGCUGAAGCGCGAAAGCUAGGGUAGCAAACGGG